rnacentral:rRNA from 1 species
GAUGAACGCUGGCGGCGUGCCUAAUACAUGCAAGUCGAGCGAACGGACGAGAAGCUUGCUUUUCUGAUGUUAGCGGCGGACGGGUGAGUAACACGUGGAUAACCUACCUAUAAGACUGGGAUAACUUCGGGAAACCGGAGCUAAUACCGGAUAAUAUUUUGAACCGCAUGGUUCAAAAGUGAAAGACGGUCUUGCUGUCACUUAUAGAUGGAUCCGCGCUGCAUUAGCUAGUUGGUAAGGUAACGGCUUACCAAGGCAACGAUGCAUAGCCGACCUGAGAGAGUGAUCGGCCACACGGGAACUGGGACACGGUCCAGACUCCUACGGGAGGCAGCAGUAGGGAAUCUUCCGCAAAGGGCGAAAGCCUGACGGAGCAACGCCGCGUGAGUGAUGAAGGUCUUCGGAUCGUAAAACUCUGUUAUUAGGGAAGAACAUAUGUGUAAGUAACUGUGCACAUCUUGACGGUACCUAAUCAGAAAGCCACGGCUAACUACGUG